rnacentral:rRNA from 1 species
GACGGAGGAUGCAAGUGUUAUCCGGAAUCACUGGGUGUAAAGCGUCUGUAGGUGGUUUCAAAAGUCCACUGUUAAAGAUUGAAGCUUAACUUCAAAAAUGCCGUGGAAACUUUGAAACUUGAGUAUGAUAGGGGUAGAGGGAAUUUCCAGUGGAGCGGUGAAAUGCGUAGAUAUUGGAAAGACCACCAAUGGCGAAGGCACUCUACUGGGCCAUUACUGACACUGAGAGACGAAAGCUAGGGGAGCAAAUGGG